AUUGAACGCUGGCGGCAGGCCUAACACAUGCAAGUCGGACGGUAGCACAGAGAGCUUGCUCUUGGGUGACGAGUGGCGGACGGGUGAGUAAUGUCUGGGGAUCUGCCCGAUAGAGGGGGAUAACCACUGGAAACGGUGGCUAAUACCGCAUAACGUCGCAAGACAAAAGAGGGGGACCUUCGGGCCUCUCACUAUCGGAUGAACCCAGAUGGGAUUAGCUAGUAGGCGGGGUAAUGGCCCACCUAGGCGACGAUCCCUAGCUGGUCUGAGAGGAUGACCAGCCACACUGGAACUGAGACACGGUCCAGACUCCUACGGGAGGCAGCAGUGGGGAAUAUUGCACAAUGGGCGCAAGCCUGAUGCAGCCAUGCCGCGUGUAUGAAGAAGGCCUUCGGGUUGUAAAGUACUUUCAGCGGGGAGGAAGGCGGUACGGUUAAUAACCGUACCGAUUGACGUUACCCGCAGAAGAAGCACCGGCUAACUCCGUGCCAGCCGCCGCCGUAA
rnacentral:rRNA from 1 species